GCCUCAGUAGUCAAAAGGUUUAGGAUCCUCGUAUGGAAUACAAGAGAUUCGGGUUCGACUCUCGGCCGAGGUA
rnacentral:tRNA from 1 species